rnacentral:rRNA from 1 species
UACGUAGGGUGCAAGCGUUGUCCGGAAUUAUUGGGCGUAAAGAGCUUGUAGGCGGUUUGUCGCGUCUGCUGUGAAAUUUCGGGGCUCAACCCCGAACUUGCAGUGGGUACGGGCAGACUAGAGUGUGGUAGGGGAGACUGGAAUUCCUGGUGUAGCGGUGAAAUGCGCAGAUAUCAGGAGGAACACCGAUGGCGAAGGCGGUUCUCUGGGCCUGACCUGACGCUGAGGAGCGAAAGCGUGGGGAGCGAACAGG